UUAACGACUCUCGGCAACGGAUAUCUCGGCUCUCGCAUCGAUGAAGAACGUAGCGAAAUGCGAUACUUGGUGUGAAUUGCAGAAUCCCGUGAACCAUCGAGUUUUUGAACGCAAGUUGCGCCCGAGGCCACCUGGUCGAGGGCACGUCUGCCUGGGCGUCACGC
rnacentral:rRNA from 1 species